UACGGUGUGGCCCGCCGUGGUGUUCGGGAAGACCGGUGACGGACCUUCAGAGGUCCCAUUCCGGAGCGGCCCUCGCCACUGUGAACGGGAAGUCUCCGUACCGUGUCCGCCCUCGGGCGGGCGGUCACUGGACGCCGAGGCGUCCGGGAAGGCCUGGUGCGGUCGCGCAGCACCCUCCGCCCCUACGCGGCCGGGUGUGCCCCGAAGCCAGGAGACCGGCCACGGCAUCUCACGAAGU
rnacentral:ncRNA from 2 species